rnacentral:rRNA from 1 species
UGGGGAAUAUUGGACAAUGGGCGAAAGCCUGAUCCAGCCAUGCCGCGUGUGUGAAGAAGGUCUUCGGAUUGUAAAGCACUUUAAGUUGGGAGGAAGGGUUGUAGAUUAAUACUCUGCAAUUUUGACGUUACCGACAGAAUAAGCACCGGCUAACUCUGUGCCAGCAGCCGCGGUAAUACAGAGGGUGCAAGCGUUAAUCGGAAUUACUGGGCGUAAAGCGCGCGUAGGUGGGUAGUUAAGUUGGAUGUGAAAUCCCCGGGCUCAACCUGGGAACUGCAUUCAAAACUGACUGACUAGAGUAUGGUAGAGGGUGGUGGAAUUUCCUGUGUAGCGGUGAAAUGCGUAGAUAUAGGAAGGAACACCAGUGGCGAAGGCGACCACCUGGACUGAUACUGACACUGAGGUGCGAAAGCGUGGGGAGCAAACA